rnacentral:ncRNA from 1 species
AGAAUUCUGCCGCCGGGCAGAAAACAUUCGUUUCCAUGUCGUUAGGCCUUUGAAGACAUGCGGACGGAUGUUAUUUUUUU